AUUGAACGCUGGCGGCAGGCCUAACACAUGCAAGUCGAACGAGCGGCGGACGGGGGAGUAAUGUCUGGGAAACUGCCUGAUGGCGGGGGAUAACUACUGGAAACGGUAGAUAAUACCGCAUACCAUCAGAUGUGCCCAGAUGGGAUUAGCUAGUAGGUGGGGUAACGGCUCACCUAGGCGACGAUCCCUAGCUGGUCUGAGCGGAUGACCAGCCACCCUGGAUCUGAUACACUGUCCAUACUCCUACGGGAGGCAGCAGUGGGGAAUAUUGGACAAUGGUCGCAAGCCUGAUGCACCCAGGCCGCGUGUGUGAAGAAGGCCUUCGGGUUGUAAAGCACUUUCAGCGGGGAGGCGUUACCCGCAGAAGAAGCACCGGCUAACUCCGUGCCAGCAGCCGCGGUAAUAC
rnacentral:rRNA from 1 species